rnacentral:sRNA from 1 species
UAGAGGAAGUAAAAGUCGUAACAAGGUUUCCGUAGGUGAACCUGCGGAAGGAUCAUUAUUGAUAGUUUGUAUUAUCAAAAACCCCUUUGUUUAUCAUUUACCAUGUUGCUUCCAUUGGACAGACCGGCAAUUGUGUAUACAAAAAGUUGGUCCUCUAGUUUUGUGUUUAUUUGGCACUAGCUAGGGAGCUGCCAGUGGAUAGAAUCCAAAUAAAAAAUUCGUGAAGAAAUAUAUAUUGUCUGAUUUAUUAGUAUAAAAAAAAUAAAACUUUCAACAACGGAUCUCUAGGCUCUUGCAUCGAUGAAGAACGCAGUGAAAUGCGAUAAGUAAUGUGAAUUGCAGAAUCUCGUGAAUCAUCGAAUCUUUGAACGCACAUUGCGCCCUAUGGAAUUCUGUAGGGCAUGCCUGUCUGAGCGUCAGCAGCCAAAAAAAUCCAAAUCUUUGUAGAUAAAGAUUUGGAUUUGGUUAAGAGAUGUAAUCUGUGUGUAAGAACCGGUUACUCUUUUGAAAUUUAAAGGCAGUAUUGAUCAAUCCAACUGUAAACGUGAUAAAACAUUUCGUUUUAUUGUUCGGAAUGAGCUUUUUGCUUGCCUAUAAACCCACUCAUCUUCAUGGGUGACCUCAGAUCAGGUAGGGAUACCCGCUGAACUUAAGCAUAUCAA